AAUAUUGAUCGGAAAACAGGUUGAGGGAAGCCGGUGCAAUUCCGGCGCGGUCCCGCCACUGUAAGGGGGAUGUCCCUGCACCAAUGCCACUGUCCAGCGCUCAAAGAGCAAGUAGGAUGGGAAGGCACAGGGGCUAAAUGAACCCAAGCCAGGAGACCUACCUGUACUCUGUCAGUCAC
rnacentral:ncRNA from 1 species